rnacentral:rRNA from 1 species
UACGAAGGGGGCUAGCGUUGUUCGGAAUCACUGGGCGUAAAGGGCGCGUAGGCGGCGCGACAAGUCAGGCGUGAAAGCCCCGGGCUCAACCCGGGAAUUGCGCUUGAUACUGUCGUGCUUGAGGCCGGGAGAGGAUGGCGGAAUUCCCAGUGUAGAGGUGAAAUUCGUAGAUAUUGGGAAGAACACCGGUGGCGAAGGCGGCCAUCUGGACCGGUUCUGACGCUGAGACGCGAAAGCGUGGGGAGCAAACAGG